rnacentral:rRNA from 1 species
UACGUAGGGUGCAAGCGUUAAUCGGAAUUACUGGGCGUAAAGCGUGCGCAGGCGGUUUUGUAAGUCUGAUGUGAAAUCCCCGGGCUCAACCUGGGAAUUGCAUUGGAGACUGCAAGGCUAGAAUCUGGCAGAGGGGGGUAGAAUUCCACGUGUAGCAGUGAAAUGCGUAGAGAUGUGGAGGAACACCGAUGGCGAAGGCAGCCCCCUGGGUCAAGAUUGACGCUCAUGCACGAAAGGCGUGGGGAGCAAACAGGAUU